CGAGAAUACUAGGACCCAGAUCACUCUUGCCUUGGGUCUUAAGACAGUGGUUUCACUGUCUUUUGCUGCUAGGAGAGGCAAGCUGAGAGGACCCCAGGCUGCUGUCCUCCCCUGCUCUCCAUUCCCCAAACUCUCAGUUUCUAGAGUGGGAGUGUCACUCAGAGAAGUUUGCUAUUGUCCCCAACCCCAGCUCCAGAGCCCUAACUCUGAGAUUUUUACCUGUGGAGAAAAACAAACCGUAAAACAGCUCCUAAUUUUUUCCCAAAGGAACUGACUUCAUUUGCAACAGGAAGUGAAGAAGUUCAAACCUGAUUGUACUCUCAAGAACAGUAGAGGGAAAAGAAAAAAGAAAAAGAACAAUGUAGGUUGUGGUAAAGGGCAUUUGAGAAGAGAUUCAUGAAACAGGCCAAAUGGUUAACUGAUACUGAUGACCCAAAGCCCAGACAUUAAGGGAGUGUAUGAGAUCAUUCAAGGGCAGUAUAGAGAAGAAUGAGAAGAGUGAGUGAAGGGGAAAGUCAGAGAAUAUCCUACAACAUGUCAACAUGUUCAUAGCAGUCAGAGAAAGGAGGCCCAGCAGAAGAUACUAAGAAGGAACAGUCCAAACAAUAGAAGAAUCAGAAGUUGAACAUUUAUGGAAGUCAAAACUAAGAGCUUUAGAAGGAAAUAGUCAAGAAUUCAGAUGCUACAAAGAGGUCAAAUAAAGUAAAGACUAUCAAUUUGCAACCAGGACACCAUUUUUGACUUUGGCUAGGGAAAUAUAUAUAUAUAUAUAUUAUUUUUUAUUUUUUAUUUGAGACAAAGUCUCACUCUGUGGCCAGGCUGGAGUGCAGUGGUGCAAUCUCGGCUCACUGCAAGCUCCAUCUCCCGGGUUCAGGCCAUUCUGCCUCAGUCUCCCAAGUAGCUAGGACUACAGGCGCCCGCCACCACACCCGGCUAAUUUUUUGUAUUUUUAGUAGAGAUGGGGUUUCACCAUGUUAGCCAGGAUGGUCUCGAUCUCCUGACCUCGUGAUCUGCCCACCUCAGCCUCCCAAAGUGCUGGGAUUACAGGCGUGAGCCAACGCUCCCAGCCUGGCUAGGGAAAUAUUAAUAAAAUGGCAGAGGUGGAGACAGAUGUUAAAGAAGUGGAGGCAUUGGGUGCUAUUUUGAGAAACAUUGCUCUGAAGGAAAGAAGGGAGAAGACAGUAGUUUGUACAGAAAGCAGGGUUGCUGGGAGAGAAUUCUCCACGGAUAUCUCACAUUUCUUCAUGUUUCAUGAAUAAGGCACUGACUGCCUUUGUUCUAGACUGUUUUCUCAAGGAUGUUUAUAUAGUGAGCACCCUUGAAAGAUAGAGAUAGUAUCUCCCUCCACAGCUCAAAGAUAGAUCUGUUUAUUGCCCAGUAUGAAAGAUUCUCUAAGCUUCAAGUUCAGGGUUCCUCUCCUAUAAUGGACCCAACUGUGUGUAGGCAUCAUCUGGUCCCCUUUGCAGUGCCCUGUGAAAAUUAGGGCUUGGGGAACUGAAGCAAAUACAUUGAUGCUCAUGCUGCUUGCUGUGCCUUAAGUGACAAAGUCCUUUGUCUCUGACAGAGGGGUUUCCUGUCUUCUGCCGUCAUCCAUGUAAUUGUGGCAGGUUGAAUUAUUAGCUUGCAAAAAUGGUGAGAUCUCAGACCCUCUUGAUACUUGACAGGAAAUAAGGAGGGGUUUGUUUUAUUUUGAUUUGUUUAAAUAUGAGACUUGAUUACAGGUUGAGGUUGAAGAUGCAGUAGUGGGGAAGAUGAGUUUGAAAAUAAUUGAUAUGGAAAACAAUCUCUAAAGCAAGAUCAAUGAGGAAUUGAGGGAUGAGCAUAAUUGUAAGAAAUUAGCCUUGCACAUGAAAAAGGAUAGAAGGUAAAGGAUGCAUGUGGGUGUAGGUAAUUUUUUAGGUAGAAGAAUGUGAAAAAGAUGUUUCAUGCUUUUCAUAUGAUUUUCUGUUGAGAGUAGCAGAUUAUGUUAUCAGAUGAAUUAAGGAUGAGAGGGUAGAGACCUGGAUCAGCAUGGAGAAAGUGAAAUUAGCUGCAGGGAGGAAUGAGAGAGAGGGCAAUUAAGAAUAGCAAAAAGAGUUGAUUAAAGGCCUUAGAGAUAGGAAACAGUUAACUUGUUAUUCCAUUAUACAGAAUUGAGUGAUUUUUUUCCUCUACCACCAAUGUUCAAUUACCUGUGUGUAAAUUGAAUAAGACAGACAAUUGGACUGAUCCUGUUUGGAGUUUACAAGACGUGCAAAUGAAGGGAAACAGGUGACAAGGGUUUUGAAGCCACUAGCAAUAAUGUAAUUAAAGUGUGGGCUUUUGGGCUUAGGCUGAAGUGGGGUUGGGAAGGCAAGUGAGACCAGGAUGACUGAUCUUAGAUAAGAAUUUUUAAAGCUGGCUGGGCAUGGUGGAUCAUACCUGUAAUCCCAGCACUUUGGGAGGCCCAGGCAGGUAGAUCACUGGAGCCCAGGAGUUUGAGACCAGCCUGGGCAACAUGGAGAAAUUCUGUCUCUGUUAUUUAAAAAAAAAAAAAAAAAAAAGAA